rnacentral:lncRNA from 1 species
UUUUUAUCUUCUGGUGUGGGAAAUUCUCAUCCUGCAUCACAAGCAAAAUUUUCGGAUGUAAUAAUAAUAAUAAUUAUUAUUAGAUAAAAUCUGAAGCAAUAUCAUUUUCACAUGCAACCCAGGAUGAUUGAUAGAUGAUCAGUUGUUAGUUUCUGCUGUUAGAACAAUUAGAUAAAUUACAAUUAUGCAAACAUCAAAAUUGAGAAAAUAUUAAAAUUAUAAGUGCUGGAAAAACCAAGCUUUACAAUUUACAAUGAGUCAUUAGACACACUCCAACUCCCUAAUUCGAUCAAGUUAUAAGCGCUGGAAAUAACCCAGUUCCGGUCAACAAAAGUCAAAGCUGCUGGUGUAUCCAACUUGCGUUGAGGGAUAGUGUGGAUUCUUUGAUGUAUUCAAUAAUUUCAGAAUUGUGUUUAGGCGCAUAAGGUGGUAUUUUUAGUGAAUUGUGGGCCUUGCCUUUGCAGAUAGAUUCCACUUACGUUGCCUUUGCGUUGCCCUUAGUGCUAACCUUUUCUUUUCUCACUUUGCCUGAAUUUCCGAACCCAAAACCAAAACCCUUCAAUUCCCGGGACACAUUGAUCGUAUAGAAAGAGGAAUGUAAAUAAUUAAUGAGAAUUCCAUAGCAAUGGCAGUAAUUUGACUUCAUCUGUGGAAUCUUUUAGUUUUAGUUCAAGCUUUUGUGAUGUUGAAAUGGGCCUGCAAAUUAAAACAUCUUUUUUUUUUUUGGGUGUAUUGAUACACAUAUGUUCAACCUAGCAUAAUGAUUUGGUGUUGUAAUUUCUUAUGCCGUUACUUUUCAAGCAUAUGGGGUUUUGGAUCAGUAUUAUAAAUCAUGUUAACAAUUUUUAGGCUUGCACAUGACAGCCUGUGCCUUAGAAAUGAUAAAGUAUGGGAAAAUAGAGAUGUUAAAAAAGCAAAUUCUUAGUCAUGAAGAAAUUGAACGAAGUAUAUGUUCACAUAGAGAUGUUGAAAAAGCAAGUUCUUCAUCAAGAAGAAAACGAAAUAAGUAAAUAAAACUCAAAAUAUAAUAAUAAUAAUUUACCUUGACUUUUUUAUCAGAUUAACACAUCUAUUAUAUUUACAAAAUACUCCAAAAAAAAAGCAAAAAUUAAAGAUUUUACUGUUUAUAUGAAAAGAAUCAAAGUAAAGAUGAAAUAAAGACAGGAAAUCACUAAGCGUGAUUGUCUCAAUCUUUGCCAAUCAAAUUAAAAAUUAAAUGUCGAUUAAGAUUUAGAUUAUUUGAGUCAAUCUUUGUAAAUCAAUCAAAUUCCAAAUGAUUAUAAUUUUAAUAUUUUCCUUUUCACAUUUAUAAUUUUUUUAUAAUUUAAACUAUUGUGCUCAUGAAUAAAUAAAAGUGACAUUUAAAUUUUUUUUUACAAUUCUUAGAAGUUUUAUAUGACAUUAGAAUUAGAAGCAUGGACAAGUGGGCACACACCGCCUUACCUCAUGACAAGAAUUAGGUAAAAAAAAGGCCUCCACAUAAUGGGGGUGUCGAGGAUAUUAUCCCACAUUAGCUAAGAAUAGUUACUAGGCUUCUUAACCCAAUCAAGCUUAUAUUAUUGACCUAGUAAUUAUUUUUAAACAAAAUAUUCUCCUCAACAAAUAGCCACCAUGUCAAUAGGGAUUUUCGGAGCAUGGUAUGUAAAGGAGAAAGAUAAUAGUUUUUUUUCUCACUAAAAAGAAAUUUGUCUAACCACAACAUGAAUCACCAUUACCACCAUCACAAAGAAAAUGAUGUCAAAAGAAAAAAGGAAUAAGAAAAAUCCUCAAAAUCAAAGAUUUACAUGACAGGAUCGAAGGAAUGGCUUUCUAGAUGAAAGAAUUUCUUGACACUUACAGAGAAAAAUUUAUCCUUGAUAUUAAAGAUUUCCUUAAACAAGAUGAAAGGAAUGGCUUUCUAAUUAAAAGAAUUCCUGAAAUGAAUAUUUUUGUGGUUAUAAUUUAUGUUAUGAAAAAAAAAAAAGGUAUACGUGGAAACAAUUGAAAGAGUGGAUAAAAGAUUCAAAGGAAUAUUUUCUUUAUUUGUUAAACGACACUUGAAUGAAGACCAUUGCAGAAAUCAAGGAUCGACAUAUUUGAAGUCAAGUUAGGAGUCCGUUAUUCUCCCUCGCUAGCUGGAGGGAGGAUAAGAAGAAUCAAAACAAAGAUGAAACAAAGACAAUAAAUCGUAAAGAGUGAUUUUCUCAAUUUUUGUCAACCAAAUGAAAGAUUGAUUGUCAUCAAUAUCAAAGAUUAUUUGAAUAAAUCUUUGCAAAUAUUAAAUUUUCAUUUUUUUAUAGUUAUAAUAUUUCCAUUUUUAUAUAAAUUAAAUCAUUGUGCUCGUUAAUAAAUAAGAGUGAAAUUAUCUUUUCAACGUGCUUCUAUAUAUAGACUGUCCACGAUUAUCAGACUACUCAGAAGCAUUAAACACACAAACGGGUCUAGUUUUUUCUUUAAUAAAAAAGAAAGUAAAGUUGAUGACUAAUUAGAUAAGAAACUUGAAAGAAAGUAUUCUAAAGGAAAUUCUUUUUCCGUUUUCCUUUCAUCUAAGGAAAAGGCAGCCAUCUUUUUUCCGUACGCUUUUUUAAUUUUAUAAAUUAAUAAAUCUCCCUUAGCUGAGGCCUCAUACAAAAAAAAAAAAGGGGGUUACCAUAUUUUCUUUUCUGUGUAUCGGGAAACACAGAAGCUCCCUAUGGAGGUCAUGGUAACGCCGGAGGCAUGCAACACCACCACGGGAUCCUCUUCGACAGGGUAUUUCGGUAAAUUCGGUAUGAGCUCGGCAACAAAUUCCACUGCCCCAUCGUCAACGUCAACAGAGAUAAUUCCGCUGAGAAGAAGAUCGAAGAGGUUAUUUUGGUAACUUUACUGGUUUAUAAGAGAUUUGUUUUAUUCUGAGAUUUGUUUUCAGACUUAUUUAAUUAAAUCACAAUGGUUUUAUUUAUGGUACAUCCAAG